rnacentral:rRNA from 1 species
UACGGAAGGCAGCAGUGGGGAAUAUUGCACAAUGGGCGAAAGCCUGAUGCAGCUAUGCCGCGUGUAUGAAGAAGGCCUUAGGGUUGUAAAGUACUUUCAUCGGGGAGGAAAAACAAAACUAAUAAUUUUAUUUCUUGACGUUACCCGAAAAAGAAGCACCGGCUAACUCCGUGCCAGCAGCCGCGGUAAUACGGAGGGUGCUAGCGUUAAUCAGAAUUACUGGGCGUAAAGAGCACGUAGGUGGUUUUUUUAAGUCAGAUGUGAAAUCCCUGGGCUUAACCUGGAACUGCAUUUUGAAACUGAAAUACUAGAGUAUCGUAGAGGGAGGUAGAAUUCUAGGUGUAGCGGUGAAAUGCGUAGAUAUCUGGAGGAAUACCUGUGGCGAAAGCGGCCUCCUAAACGAAUACUGACACUGAGGUGCGAAAACGUGGGAGGGC